AAGAAUGAAGAAGACAAUGAGGAAUUGUAAGUUCCGGUGAUGUGAAAAACUCAGGUGAAGAAGACGAGUUGAAAAAUUUUGGCUCUAUUUACAUGGAAUAUUGCAGCCGACGU
rfam:Arabidopsis thaliana chromosome 3, complete sequence.